rnacentral:rRNA from 1 species
UACGAAGGGGGCUAGCGUUGUUCGGAAUCACUGGGCGUAAAGAGCGCGCAGGCGGUCGUUCAAGUCGCGUGUGAAAGCCCCCGGCUCAACUGGGGAGGGUCACGCGAUACUGAUCGACUCGAAGGCAGGAGAGGGUAGUGGAAUUCCCGGUGUAGUGGUGAAAUGCGUAGAUAUCGGGAGGAACACCAGUGGCGAAGGCGACUACCUGGCCUGUUCUUGACGCUGAGGCGCGAAAGCUAGGGGAGCAAACGGG